GAUGAACGCUGGCGGCGUGCCUAAUACAUGCAAGUCGAGCGAACGGACGAGAAGCUUGCUUCUCUGAUGUUAGCGGCGGACGGGUGAGUAACACGUGGAUAACCUACCUAUAAGACUGGGAUAACUUCGGGAAACCGGAGCUAAUACCGGAUAAUAUUUUGAACCGCAUGGUUCAAAAGUGAAAGACGGUCCUGCUGUCACUUAUAGAUGGAUCCGCGCUGCAUUAGCUAGUUGGUAAGGUAACGGCUUACCAAGGCAACGAUGCAUAGCCGACCCGAGAGGGUGAUCGGCCACACUGGAACUGAGACACGGUCCAGACUCCUACGGGAGGCAGCAGUAGGGAAUCUUCCGCAAUGGGCGAAAGCCUGACGGAGCAACGCCGCGUGAGUGAUGAAGGUCUUCGGAUCGUAAAACUCUGUUAUUAGGGAAGAACAUAUGUGUAAGUAACUGUGCACAUCUUGACGGUACCUAAUCAGAAAGCCACGGCUAACUACGUG
rnacentral:rRNA from 1 species